CUACACACGUGCUACAAUGGUUGGUACAACGAGUUGCGAGUCGGUGACGGCGAGCUAAUACUCUUAAAGCCAAUCUCAGUUCGGAUUGUAGGCUGCAACUCGCCUACAUGAAGUCGGAAUCGCUAGUAAUCGCGGAUCAGCACGCCGCGGUCGAAUACGUUCCCGGGCCUU
rnacentral:rRNA from 1 species